rnacentral:lncRNA from 1 species
GAUGUCAACAAUAACAUAACUGCAGGAAUUUUAAUCUUAUGUCAUACAAUUUCUUUUUCUUUUUCUUUUUUUUUUCUGUUAACAUUAGGAUCUGGAUCCUCUCCGACGCUUUUCCCUCUCUGCUCUCUCCAGCCAAUACCUGAACCAUUGGAUCAAUUUAAAGGAUAAGAUUUUAAAAGGAAAAAAGACACACAUGAGUAAAGGUGAAUUCUCUGAUGGACCAUAUUAUGGUCCAAGCCGUGAGCCACCAAAAAUAUACCGGCUAUAGCAAGUUUAAAACACGGGAAGAACUGGUGAGUUACAGUGUUUAAAAUGUAAAAAUAUACAUAUACUAAUCUAAACAUGCAAAUCAAUUUAAAUGACAUAUUCAGAUCAAACAGUGGAAAUUAAAAAUAUUACAAGCGUACCUCCAGUCAUUGCAAAAUGAACGUGAAGCAGCACACACACGAACUUGAAAGACAAUUUUGUUCUUCCAGACCCUUACUCACUCUGAAUAGAUGGUGUAUUUUUUUUAAUAGAGAAGUGAAUUUGGUGGUACAAAAUUGAGAGCACCCCAUCCUAUUUAUAGAGUCUGUCCAUCAUAGAGCUCAACUUGUUAUCAAAACGUGAUAUAGGAAGUUAUCAGUACGUG